UGAAAACAAAGAUUCCCUCCUUCUUCUCCUCCAUCCUAUUGAGGAAGCACCCGCCAGCCCUGUGAGCGCACCUGAGCUACGGCAAGGGGGUUACAGAGAAAUGAGGCUACAGACCAUUAGACGAGGAGACACGACAUGCUUGUUCUGGAAGGGGCCCUGUCACCAACUAACUGGCAGGUACAUUUCUCUUCCUCAUCUCCAUUCUAAAGUUCUGGAUUCCAGCUCCAGUCCUGUCACCAGAUGGCCAUCUGUUCUUGGGACCAGGACCCUGGACCCAGAGCGAAGGAGCGCUGGAG
ensembl:lncRNA